rnacentral:rRNA from 1 species
AGCAGCCGCGGUAAUUCCAGCUCCAAUAGCGUAUAUUAAAGUUGUUGCAGUUAAAAAGCUCGUAGCUGAAUUUCGGGGUUAGUAGGUUGGUCAUGCCUCUGGUAUGUACUGGUCUCACUGAUUCCUCCUUCCUGAUGAACCGUAAUGCCAUUAAUUUGGUGUUGCGGGGAAUUUGGACUGUUACUUUGAAAAAAUUAGAGUGUUUAAAGCAAGCUAACGCUUGAAUACAUUAGCAUGGAAUAAUGAAAUAGGACGUUCGAUCCUAUUUUGUUGGUUUCUAGGAUUGACGUAAUGAUUAAUAGGGAUAGUUGGGGGCAUUAGUAUUCAAUUGUCAGAGGUGAAAUUCUUGGAUUUAUUGAAGACUAACUACUGCGAAAGCAUUUGCCAAGGAUGUUUUCAUUAAUCAAGAACGAAAGUUAGGGGAUCGAAGACGAUCAGAUACCGUCGUAGUCUUAACCAUAAACUAUGCCGACUAGGGAUCGGAUGAUGUUAAUUUUUUAAUG